UGGGGAAUAUUGCACAAUGGGGGAAACCCUGAUGCAGCGACGCCGCGUGAACGAAGAAGGUAUUCGUAUCGUAAAGUUCUGUCCUAUGGGAAGAUAAUGACAGUACCAUAGAAGAAAGCUCCGGCUAAAUACGUGCCAGCAGCCGCGGUAAUACGUAUGUAGCGAGCGUUGUCCGGAAUUAUUGGGCGUAAAGGGUACGCAGGCGGUUUAAUAAGUCGAAUGUUAAAGAUCGGGGCUCAACCCCGCAAAGCAUUGGAAACUGAUAAACUUGAGUAGUGGAGAGGAAAGUGGAGUUCCUAGUGUAGUGGUGAAAUACGUAGAUAUUAGGAGGAAUACCAGUAGCGAAGGCGACUUUCUGGACACAAACUGACGCUGAGGUACGAAAGCGUGGGGAGCAAACAGG
rnacentral:rRNA from 1 species